GAGGUCUAUAAAACAGGGGCAGUAUUUUAACAAUUUCCACAUCACCUCUCGAUCUGGAACCGGGUAGAGAUUUAACACUGAAGUCCGGAUAACCUGAAUAAUGGCAGCUUCAUGUUCUGGCAAUAUUACGGAGCCGAAUGGAAACUUUAAUGACGGAGAGAAUUAGAUUAUUUUAGAAAAUAUCAUGGCUGACUGGGAUAUAUUAAAUGCGCAUGACUCAGAAAGCUCUAAAAAGAAAAGAAAUAUCUGGGAAGAAAUAACAAAAAGAGUAAAUAAAGAUGGUACCUAUAAGCAUACUGCUACUGCCUGUAAACUGAGAUGGAAUCAUUGUAUAAGAAGCUUUGAAAAAAACAUAGAUCAAAAAUCACCUCUGAAUCCUCUUCAGCGCAAAGUAUUAAAUUUUUUGAUUGCUAAAAACAAAGGAAGCAAAAUAACUUGGGAAGAUGUUGUUUUUAAAAUACACCGUCAAUCUGAUGUAAUGGGUACACUGCCUAAGGAGUGGAGAAGAU